CUGAGCUCUGGUAGAGACGAAGCUAAAGAUACAGAACAACAUGGAGGACUAAUUCCUGUGCAUUCUUUAAAUCUUUUGCUGAAGAGUAUUGGUGCCACCCUUACAGAUGUACAAGAUGUAGUUUUUAAGCUUGCCUUUUUUCAACUCAACUACCAGUUCCAUACAACAUCUGAAUUGCAAUCUGAAGUAAUAAGACACUAUUCCAAACAGGCUAUUAAACAAAUGUACGUACUCAUUCUUGGACUUGAUGUUUUGGGAAAUCCCUUUGGCUUAAUUAGAGAAUUUUCAGAAGGAGUAGAAGCAUUUUUUUAUGAACCUUACCAGGGGGCCAUCCAGGGUCCUGAAGAGUUUGUGGAGGGAAUGGCACUAGGAUUGAAAGCCCUGGUUGGCGGAGCCGUUG
rnacentral:lncRNA from 1 species